rnacentral:rRNA from 1 species
AUACCCGGGUAGUCCCAGCCGUAAACGAUGCGCGUUAGGUGCAUCGAUGACCACGAGUCAUCGAGGUGCCGAAGAGAAAUCGUGAAACGUGCCGCCUGGGAAGUACGGUCGCAAGGCUGAAACUUAAAGGAAUUGGCGGGGGAGCACCACAACAGGUGGAGCCUGCGGUUUAAUCGGACUCAACGCCGGAAAUCUCACCGGAUAAGACAGCUGUAUGAUAGUCGGGCUGAAGACUCUACUUGACUAGCUGAGAGGAGGUGCAUGGCCGUCGUCAGUUCGAACUGUGAAGCAUCUUGUUAAGUCAGGCAACGAGCGAGACCCACGCCAACAGUUGCCAGCUCGUCCUCCGGGAUGGUGGGGACACUGUUGGGACCGCCUCUGCUAAAGAGGAGGAAGGAAUGGGCAACGGUAGGUCAGCAUGCCCCGAAUUAUCCGGGCUACACGCGGGCUACAAUGGGUGGGACAAUGGGUAUCGACACCGAAAGGUGAAGGCAAUCUCCUAAACCCAUCCUUAGUUCGGAUUGUGGGCUGCAACUCGCCCACAUGAAGCUGGAAUCUGUAGUAAUCGU